rnacentral:lncRNA from 1 species
CCCCCCCCCCGCAAAGCUUCAUCUUCUCCAUAGCGAAACCCAAUCGUCGGACCUCCCAGCAACCUAGCCCCACCACCACAACUUCGACCAUUCAUCAGCCUUACGAACGCCAAUGAUAACAGACCCUCCAUAGCGCCGCAAUUGAUAGGACCCUACCCCCACAGCUUUGUCUUCUUCAUGACCCCAGUCUUCCCCUGUCAUCAGCUUCUUCAAAAGCGAACAACAAAGAAAAAUAAUAACACCUAAGAGCAACAGCCGCAAUACAGGAGAGGACGCUCCCAAAAACCAUUGUCUUCAACCUUCUAUUAACACUUUCAAUUUUCAGAUCUCUCGACAUAGUGUAUUUUCGAAAAAUUUAGAAAUGUAGAACUCUAUUUUUUCAGUUUCAUUUCGGAUUCUGGCACAAAAAAAGGAAUUUGACUCAGAUUUGAGUUUAAGUUCAUGUUCAAGUCGAGAUUCGUGGUGCCGAGUCGAAUUCCCAGCUCUCGAGGUUCUAGUCCAAUUUCUACUUGCGUUUGCUGAAAUUUAGCCUUCUUUAUUGUGCUUUUUCUUUGUCUCUUCAAUUUUUUCUUACCCAACCAGAUAUUCAACAUUGAAUUCAAGUUUUAUUUGGACAUAAUAUGAACAGUGUCUUUUGUUCCUCUCCAUGAAAUUUCGAUACAUUUGUUAUCUUCAUAUGAUUGAAUCCUUUUCGGAGUAAUUUGUAUGUUAGAAUAUUUAAACUUGUUUAGCUUUUAUCACUAUCGUCAAAUUUCGGUAGAGACUUACAGAUGUAUCGAAUUUAUGAAGCAUUUUUGGUAGAUUAUUGAUUACUCAUAUGCGUGUUUUCAUUUGGUUAUUGUAAGUGUGGAUAGUAGAAUGGAUGAGAUAAUG